rnacentral:rRNA from 1 species
UACGUAGGGGGCAAGCGUUGUCCGGAAUUAUUGGGCGUAAAGCGCGCGCAGGCGGUCUCUUAAGUCUGAUGUGAAAGCCCACGGCUCAACCGUGGAGGGUCAUUGGAAACUGGGAGACUGGAGUAUAGGAGAGGAAAGUGGAAUUCCACGUGUAGCGGUGAAAUGCGUAGAGAUGUGGAGGAACACCAGUGGCGAAGGCGACUUUCUGGCCUAUUACUGACGCUGAGGCGCGAAAGCGUGGGGAGCGAACAGG